rnacentral:rRNA from 1 species
AACGCUAGCUACAGGCUUAACACAUGCAAGUCGAGGGGAAACGACAUCGAAAGCUUGCUUUUGAUGGGCGUCGACCGGCGCACGGGUGAGUAACGCGUAUCCAACCUGCCCACCACUUGGGGAUAACCUUGCGAAAGUAAGACUAAUACCCAAUGAUAUCUCUAGAAGACAUCUGAAAGAGAUUAAAGAUUUAUCGGUGAUGGAUGGGGAUGCGUCUGAUUAGCUUGUUGGCGGGGUAACGGCCCACCAAGGCAACGAUCAGUAGGGGUUCUGAGAGGGAGGUCCCCCACAUUGGAACUGAGACACGGUCCAAACUCCUACGGGAGGCAGCAGUGAGGAAUAUUGGUCAAUGGACGAGAGUCUGAACCAGCCAAGUAGCGUGCAGGAAGACGGCCCUAUGGGUUGUAAACUGCUUUUAUAAGGGAAUAAAGUGAGUCUCGUGAGACUUUUUGCAUGUACCUUAUGAAUAAGGACCGGCUAAUUCCGUGCCAGCAGCCGCGGUAAUACGGAAGGUCCGGGCGUUAUCCGGAUUUAUUGGGUUUAAAGGGAGCGUAGGCCGGAGAUUAAGCGUGUUGUGAAAUGUAGAUGCUCAACAUCUGAACUGCAGCGCGAACUGGUUUCCUUGAGUACGCACAAAGUGGGCGGAAUUCGUGGUGUAGCGGUGAAAUGCUUAGAUAUCACGAAGAACUCCGAUUG